GAUGAACGCUAGCGGGAGGCCUAACACAUGCAAGCCGAGCGGUAUUGUUUCUUCGGAACUGAGAGAGCGGCGUACGGGUGCGUAACACGUGUGCAACCUGCCUUUAUCUGGGGGAUAGCCUUUCGAAAGGAAGAUUAAUACUCCAUAAUAUAUUGAACGGCAUCGUUUGAUAUUGAAAGCUCCGGCGGAUAGAGAUGGGCACGCGCAAGAUUAGCUAGUUGGUGAGGUAACGGCUCACCAAGGCGAUGAUCUUUAGGGGGCCUGAGAGGGUGAUCCCCCACACUGGUACUGAGACACGGACCAGACUCCUACGGGAGGCAGCAGUGAGGAAUAUUGGUCAAUGGGUGCAAGCCUGAACCAGCCAUCCCGCGUGAAGGACGACUGCCCUAUGGGUUGUAAACUUCUUUUGUAUAGGGAUAAACCUACCCUCGUGAGGGUAGCUGAAGGUACUAUACGAAUAAGCACCGGCUAACUCCGUG
rnacentral:rRNA from 1 species